rnacentral:misc_RNA from 1 species
GAUGAAGAACGUAGCAAAAUGCGAUACUUGGUGUGAAUUGCAGAAUCCCGUGAACCAUCGAGUUUUUGAACGCAAGUUGCGCCCGAAGCCUUUUGGCCGAGGGCACGUCUGCCUGGGCGUCACGCAUCGCGUCGCCCCCCACAACUCUCCGUAAAGGGAACUUGUGUUUUGGGGGCGGAUAUUGGUCUCCCGUGCUCAUGGCGUGGUUGGCCGAAAUAGGCGUCCCUCCGGUGGACGCACGAACUAGUGGUGGUCGUAAAAACCCUCGUCUUUUGUUUCGUGCCGUUAGUCGCGAGGGAAACUCUUUAAAAACCCAAAUGUGUCGUCUCUUGACGGCGCUUCGACCGCGACCCCAGGUCAGGCGGGACUACCCGCUGAGUUUAAGCAUAUCAAUAAGCGGAGGA